CUAUAGAGACUGUCUAAGCCGAUUUUCACAAUAAGCUUUGUCUGUAGCGAACCUUGUUGCGCAACCUUGGAUAGAAAGGGACUCGGUGAAGUUGCAGUCACGGUGCGAUAAGGUCCUGCCUGAGUAUUUCAAGAAUUUUCUGCUCCUAUGUUAGUUCACCACCAUCUACAAAUUUUCUUGCAGCAUAAAAGGACCGAGAGUCUCACAUGGUGUGUUGCCUGUUCGGUGCCAGGGUAAGGGGUAUCGCUGACCGACUUGGAAGGAUCCAGUCAUUGUGGUCCACAUCGGAACAAACAACAUAGUUUUUAGAUUGAGAUCGAAAAUGAAGGCAUGAAAAGGAGAAAAUGGUCCUUCUGCUGACAACAAAGCAAGACAUUAACAAGUCACUGUCAGGAUUGGGGUUGGG